rnacentral:rRNA from 1 species
CGUACGCUGGCGGCACGCCUAACACAUGCAAGUCGAACGCAGUAGCAAUACUGAGUGGCAAACGGGUGAGUAUAAUGUGGGAAUCUGCCUUUUGGUUUGGAAUAACACGGGGAAACUUGUGCUAAUACCGAAUAAGCCCUUACGGGGAAAGUUUUAAUGCCGAAAGAUGAGCCCGCACUUGAUUAGCUAGUUGGUAAGGUAAAAGCUUACCAAGGCAACGAUCAAUAGCUGUUCUUAGAGGAAGACCAGCCACAUUGGGACUGAGACACGGCCCAGACUCCUACGGGAGGCAGCAGUGGGGAAUCUUGCACAAUGGGGGAAACCCUGAUGCAGCGAUGCCGCGUGAGUGAAGAAGGCCCUUGGGUUGUAAAACUCUUUCGUCGGGGAAGAAAAUGACUGUACCCGAAUAAGAAGGUCCGGC